AAGAAAGUUAACAUUGAUUUUGAACAUUUCAAACCAAUUAAUACAUCAUUGUAUUUGUGUGACAACAAAUUCCAUACAGAAGCUCUUACAGCACUACUUUCAGAUGAAAGCAAGUCUGGAUUCAUCGUAAUAGAUGGUAGUGGUGCACUUUUUGGCACCCUCCAAGGAAACACAAGAGAAGUCCUGCAAAAACUCACUGUGGAUCUCCCAAAGAAACACGGUAAAGGUCAGUCAGCCUUGCGUUUUGCCUGUUUAAGAAUGGAAAAGUGACCUAACAAUGUUCAGAAAGUAGCAGAGACUGCUGUGCAGCUGUUUAUUUCUGGGGACAAAGGGAAGGUGGCUGGUCUAGUUUUAGCUGGAUCCGCUGACUUUAAAACUGAACUAAGUCAAUCUGAUACGUUUGAUCAGCGGUUACAAUCGAAAGUUUUAAAAUUAGUUGAUAUAUCCUAUGGUGGUGAAAAUGGAUUCAACCAAGCUGUUGGGCUAUCUACUGAAGUCCUCUCCAAAGUGAAAUUUAUUCAAAAGAAGAAAUUAGUAGGGAUACAUUGAUGAAAUCAGCCAGGACACAGGCAGGUACUGUUUUGGUGUUGAAGAUACACUAAAGGCUUUGGAAAUGGGAGCUGUAGAAAUUCUAAUAGCCUAUGAAAAUCUGAAUAUAAUGAGAUAUGUUCUUCAUUGCCAAGGCACAAAAGAGGAGAAAAUUCUCUAACUCCAGAGCAAGAACAGGAUAAAUCUCAUUUCACAGACAAAGAGACCAGGCAGGAACAUGCGCUUAUCAAGAGCAUGCCCCUGUUGAAAUGGUUUGCUAACAACUAUAAAAAAGUCGGAGCUACAUUGGAAAUUGUCACAUAUAAAUCACAAGAAGGGUCUCAGUUUGUGAAAGGAUUUGGUAGAAUUGGAGGUCUCUUGUGGUACCAAGUGGAUUUCCAAAGAAUGGAAUACCAAGGAGGAGACGAUGAAUUUUUUUACCUUGAUGACUACUAG
rnacentral:lncRNA from 1 species